rnacentral:rRNA from 1 species
AGUGAACGCUGGCGGUAGGCCUAACACAUGCAAGUCGAACGGCAGCACAGUAGGCUGUUGCUCUUACGGCCGGGGAGGGCAGAAGGGGUGCGGUAUACCUCGAAAUCUACUUUUGAGAGGGGGAAAAGGCAGGAAACCUAACUCAAAUACCCAACACCACAUAGGGUUGAAUGCAGGGGGGAUUGGAACUUUGCGCAUUUCAGUGAGCCGAUGUGGGUUUAGGUAGUUGGGGGGGAAAAGGCCCACCAAGGCGACGAUCCGAGUCGGGUCUGAGAGCAUGACGCGCCACACUGUAACUGAGACACGGUCCAGACUCCUACGGGAGGCAGCAGUGGGGAAUAUUGGACAAUGGGCGCAAGCCUGAUCCAGCCAUCCCGCGUGGGUGAAGAAGGCCUUCGGGUUGUAAAGCCCUUUUGUUGGGAAAGAAAAGCAGCAGGUUAAUACCCCGCUGUUCUGACGGUACCCAAAGAAUAAGCACCGGCUAACUUCGUG